rnacentral:rRNA from 1 species
GACGAACCGUGCAAACGUUAUUCGGAAUCACUGGGCAUAAAGGGCGCGUAGGCGGCUUUCUAAGUCAGGGGUGAAAUCCGGCAGCUCAACUGUCGCAGUGCCUUUGAUACUGGAGAGCUCGAGGGAGGUAGGGGUCUGUGGAACUUCCGGUGGAGCGGUGAAAUGCGUUGAUAUCGGAAGGAACGCCGGUGGCGAAAGCGACGGACUGGAUCUCUUCUGACGCUGAGGCGCGAAAGCCAGGGGAGCAAAGCGGGG